CUUUUUUUUUUUUUUUUUUAUAUUUAUAACUUUACAGAACGUUUUGUUACGAAAUUAGAAGAAAUUUUAGAAUAUUACAAUAAACUUACAUAGUAGUAGGGCGGAUGACUUCUUCUAGAAUCUACACGAGUAUUUGUUUUGCGCAGCCGUGAAAAAAACCAGCUAGAAAGAAAUUAUUGUUACAUGCUAUGACGAAACCAAAUCUUUUAUGUUGCGUAUUUUCCACGGUUUUCUCUAUUUUUUGAGAUGUUUUUAAGUUUUUUUUUAUGCUUUUUGGGAGCUUUUUUGCGUUUUCUUUGCACGACUUCCUUAAAAAUAACGUUUAUCAAAACGAAAAUCAAUUAUUUUAACAUUCGAAGUCCGCGCCCACAAAUUACUAUAAUGGCCGUUUUGUGUCAGCGGUUAUUAUAAUGGGCAAAUACAUCAAUCAAUAAAUGUAAUCUCUACUUAAUCAAUAAAAAGUAGAAAGAAAAGGUUUAUUAAGACAAAAAGUUAUAAUUUGGCAGUGGU